CUACGGGGCGCUGCAGUAAGGAAUAUUGCGCAAUGGGCGAAAGCCUGACGCAGCGACGCCGCGUGGGGGAUGAAGGUCUUCGGAUUGUAAACCCCUUUCGGGAGGGAAGAUGGAGCGGGUAACCGCUUGGACGGUACCUCCAGAAGCAGCCACGGCUAACUUCGUGCCAGCAGCCGCGGUAAUACGAAGGUGGCAAGCGUUGUUCGGAUUCACUGGGCGUACAGGGAGCGUAGGCGGUUGGGUAAGCCCUUCGUGAAAUCUCCGGGCCUAACCCGGAAAGUGCGGAGGGGACUGCUUGGCUAGAGGAUGGGAGAGGAGCGCGGAAUUCCCGGUGUAGCGGUGAAAUGCGUAGAGAUCGGGAGGAAGGCCGGUGGCGAAGGCGGCGCUCUGGAACAUUUCUGACGCUGAGGCUUGAAAGCGUGGGGAGCAAACAGGAUUAGAUACCCCAGUAGUC
rnacentral:rRNA from 1 species